AGAGUUAGAUGAAGAUGAAGUUGAAAAUUUGGAGGGUGAGCCAGGAAAAGGAUGAAAGAUUCUAAGAGCACUAGGAAUAGGAACAUGAAGGAAAGCAUUAUUGUGCAUGGAGAUUUAGGCCUGAUGUUUUCCUGAUGCCUCCUAUUCCUAAGGCUCUUAGGUUCUCCUUCCCUUUCCUUAUGGCUUGCGAAAUCAAUGUUAAUCAGAUCAAAAGAGAUGGGGUCAGGGUACACUAUGCUGGUUGCAAGCAAGCAAGAGAAAGAAUGAGAGAGGGACUGAGAACAGUGGCUAGUGGGAAACUGGGAAUGGGAACAUGGAGGAAAGCUAAGUUAAAUUUCUUCGUUUCUUCUCCAGUAAUGGAGGGUUUAAUCUGCUUUGGUCUUUCCCUGUGCCUCUCAUUCCUAUUACUCUCAACCACUCCUUCCUCGUCCUUUUUUUGCUUACAAUGUUGUUUCAAACGCUAAAACAAAAUAAUGAACUCUUUCCCAUGUGAGGAUGAUGGA